GCUCUGUGCGCAACUGUCUCAACUCUGUUGCCAAACCAACCGCUAAAUUCUUCUGCAUGUACUUUAAUUUUACAACUUGUUCACGCUCACGUGGGCCUUCAGUUGCGCAAAAGGCGAAUGCUCCAACAACAGCCCAAAUGAGACAGCGAUAAUCUUCCUAGAAACCGAAUAUGCUUCCAUAUUUUGGUAGAUUUCUUCCCUGAGCCAUUUUCCUCGAAAAUGUCUUUGACGGAUGGCAAAAAUCUCAGCCGUAAUGGUAAACCAACUAUAGUUUGAAUGGCUAUUGAUUUUGUUAAUUUCUUAGGCUCCACUACUGUUUCGAGUCGUGUUGGAAUGUCUUCUGAAACUGGCGUCGUCGAUUCUGUGUACAAUACAUUAAAGUAUUAUUAUGUUAACGCAAGAAUUUUGCUAUCAUUUUACAAAGCGAAGUUGUUUUAAAAAUAUUGCAUUUGGUACAACUUGAAGCAAUAUUUGCUUCAACGUUACUAAAUUAUCGUAAUCUCUUUGAUACUAAUUAGAAUGGAGCUGAUGUGAAAAUCAAAUUAUGACGAUACGUUAAAUAUGUUUUAAUUAUUAAUCUUCCCAUAUAAGAAUUGUAUUUAAUUAUAUCUCAUCUAAAUCUAGAAAAGGGAAUUCCCCCUUGUAUUAGAGAAGCAUUUCUAUUAAUUCAGACAAGAAAUCUUUGAAAUUUUAUAUUUAAUGGGUAGUGAUAAAUAAUGAUUUUCUAUAGCGUAUAGAUUUACCAUGUCGAUAGAGGUUUUAAAAAAAAGUGAAAAUAAGGGAUAUGAUAAGAAUUGUAAAAUCUAUCUUCAUAUAUUUUUUAUUUUACGAAUGAAGUAAUAUCUUUUGUUUUUCAUUUGUAAUGUACUUUCAUUUUAUGUUGAAUCAAAUAAAUUUAAUUAUAGAACUGACUAAA